rnacentral:rRNA from 1 species
GUCGAGAAUCAUUCACAAUGGGGGAAACCCUGAUGGUGCGACGCCGCGUGGGGGAAUGAAGGUCUUCGGAUUGUAAACCCCUGUCAUGUGGGAGCAAAUUAAAAAGAUAGUACCACAAGAGGAAGAGACGGCUAACUCUGUGCCAGCAGCCGCGGUAAUACAGAGGUCUCAAGCGUUGUUCGGAAUCACUGGGCGUAAAGCGUGCGUAGGCUGUUUCGUAAGUCGUGUGUGAAAGGCGCGGGCUCAACCCGCGGACGGCACAUGAUACUGCGAGACUAGAGUAAUGGAGGGGGAACCGGAAUUCUCGGUGUAGCAGUGAAAUGCGUAGAUAUCGAGAGGAACACUCGUGGCGAAGGCGGGUUCCUGGACAUUAACUGACGCUGAGGCACGAAGGCCAGGGGAGCGA